AUAAAAGUUAUACUAAAGUUUUACUGGGGGCGCGGUGGGUGAGUGGUAAAGUUUUUUUUAACCUGGAGGUCCUGGGUUUGAAUCUCGAUAAGACUGGGAUUUUUAAUUUUGGGAUUUUCAAGAAGCCCCUGAGUUCACUCAACUUUAAUGGGUGCCUGACAUAAAUUAGGGAAAGUAAAGGCAGUUGGGCAUUGUGCUGGCACAUGAUAUUAACCGUUUGCCAAAGAAAGAAAGAGAUGACCUUAAAAAGGAACUAAAGUUUUACUAACAGCUAGUUUUAAUGACAUAAAUCAGCAUGCCCUAAUAUGAAGAGAAAAAAAAAGGAGGUGGGCUUCCUAUAUCCCCUAAGACUAUAUUUACACUGAAACAAGUUGCUAAUGGAAAAAAAUAGACAGUAAACAUAAUGCAGUGCAAGAAUAAAUACUCAGAAUCACUAAAUACUAAGUAUUUAUUCACAUUUCUUUACAUAUUUACAUUGGCAAUUUACAUUUUGAUAUGAAAAUGUUUACAAGCUAUCAUUUACAGUGUCUCAUGAAUGAAGUCAUAACUAUUUUUUGGUUACUUCUUAUGCAGAGUGACGAAUGUUUUUGUGUUUUUGAUAGCGCAAACUACAUAGACUAGUUUAACUACCAAACAGAAAAAAGAAUUGACAAUGGUGUGAAGAAGGAUACACAGAAUGGCUAACUAAAAAGAUUGUCAACUAAAGAGAUUGCCCCUACCUUUUCCCUGAGACCAUAAUUUGUGCCUCCGAGCCCAGGUUGUGGCCUUAGGAACUAGGAAGUGUGGCAUCAAAACAUCAUGAUGUGGACAUCAGCAGCCUAAGAAUGAACAGAGAAUUGUGUUUAGAGCAAAAGUAGAGUCUCGGACAGAAAUGUUUUUCUAGUCAUAAGAUACAAAAAUAAUAGAGAAAGUGUCAUGCAUAUAUUUAGUGUACACAUAUAUAUAAAUUGUGAAUGUGAUACAGUCCCCAAAAAGUGUAAUGUGAACCUUGUGGCGCCCUAGUUUGUGAACGUGCAAGGUUAAGGGGAAUGGGGCUAAAAUGAAAAAUACAUCAGCACAAAUACAAUUUAACAAGGGAAAGUAUGCUAUGAAGGCAUAAAGCUGUCUAUAAUUUUUUUAGAUGCACAUUGUCCUUUUGUCUAUAAUAUGAUGGCAUGCAGGAUUUUCUUCUAUGUCCUGCAAAGGUGUGGCACUGUUAUAAGGACUGCCAGGUUAUCAGAUAUGCCAAGUUUUGGGGACUGUAAUUUGUUACUUACAACAUCUUUUUAAGCACUGAAAAACAAGCUGGAAUCAAAUACUGACACAUGGGGUGAUUAGUUCAGUUCUGGAGCUGUAAACUUUGCUAUGACAUAACUAUUUUACAAAUGUGAUCAUUUUGAAGUGUUUCUUGAUUAAUCCUAUUGCUUGUUUAUUAAAUUUGAAAAUACCCUCAUCUAAAGGAACCAACCGUCAAGUUUUGAGAAAACAGCAAAGACCAUAAUGAAACAUCAUCAUUGCUUCAUUCAUCCAAAAUAUCUUUAGUAACCUAUUCUCUGUGAUACUAUAAGCUGUCUAAAUUUGUCUAGCCAUAAAAUAACAAGUUGUCUACUAAAGUUGUGUCUAGACAACACCAUAUGUAAGGAAAUGACAAGUACAAUUGGGAAAUCUUUGCUGAUAAAACUCUGUAGUAUUGACAAAUUUUGUUUUCUAACUAAAGGCUAACAAAAAAAAAUGUAGGCAUAGAUGUGAACUCAAUUUACCCCUGGAAUAAUAUUUUUUGACACAUUAAUUUCUUUGAUAGAGAGAAAGCAGUGAGUCCAAGGGAAAUAACUACCAUGCAGAUAAAAUGAUAAGAAAAAUGAAUAGACAUAUUUAUAUAUUAAAUGUUUUUUUUUAUACACUUUCAAAAAUAUGUUUCUCUUUGUCUUUGGAUUUAAAAGUAUAUACUACAUCAGCCUUUUUAACGUUUGUCUAUAUUGUAAAAUGAGUCCAGUUGAUUAGUAAAUAUAUUUUCAAACAGUUAUAGAAUAACAGCUUCAGUGAAAUCAUAGAUCCCUUAGAAAUAUAUUUUGUAUCAACCAAUGUAACUAUUAAUAUUAAAGAAUUCUUAUCAAGUUUUGACAUUCAUAUUUUGUAAACCUUAGCCUUAAUCUCUUAAAUUUUAUCUGAAAAAAAAAUAUUUAGGUCUGAGUCUUGUGUCUUUUCCUAUGCCCUCACAUUAAAUGCAAGUACAAAUAUUUUACUGCCAGCAGAAAGUCAUAAAUAAAUCAUAAUUAA
rnacentral:sRNA from 1 species